GACGAACGCUGGCGGCGUGCUUAACACAUGCAAGUCGAACGGAAAGGCCCUGCUUUUGUGGGGUGCUCGAGUGGCGAACGGGUGAGUAACACGUGAGUAACCUGCCCUUGACUUUGGGAUAACUUCAGGAAACUGGGGCUAAUACCGGAUAGGAGCUCCUGCUGCAUGGUGGGGGUUGGAAAGUUUCGGCGGUUGGGGUUGGACUCGCGGCUUAUCAGCUUGUUGGUGGGGUAGUGGCUUACCAAGGCUUUGACGGGUAGCCGGCCUGAGAGGGUGACCGGCUUCUAUGGGACUGACUUACGGCCCAGACUACUACGGGGGGGAGCAGUGGGGAAUUUUGCAUAAUGGGGCGCAUCCUGCUGCCACAGCGCCGCGUGGCGGAUGAAGGCCUUCGGGUUGUAAACCGCUUGCGCCCGUGAAGAAGAGGGAGUGCCGGUAAAGGGUAAAGGAACAGCGGCUAACUUCGUG
rnacentral:rRNA from 1 species